ACGGAAGGCAGCAGUGGGGAAUAUUGCACAAUGGGGGAAACCCUGAUGCAGCGACGCCGCGUGAGUGAAGAAGUAUUUCGGUAUGUAAAGCUCUAUCAGCAGGAAAGAAAAUGACGGUACCUGACUAAGAAGCCCCGGCUAACUACGUGCCAGCAGCCGCGGUAAUACGUAGGGGGCAAGCGUUAUCCGGAUUUACUGGGUGUAAAGGGAGCGUAGACGGCUUUGCAAGUCUGAAGUGAAAGCCCGGGGCUCAACCCCGGAACUGCUUUGGAAACUGUAGAGCUAGAGUGCAGGAGAGGUAAGUGGAAUUCCUAGUGUAGCGGUGAAAUGCGUAGAUAUUAGGAGGAACACCAGUGACGAAGGCGGCUUACUGGACUGUAACUGACGUUGAGGCUCGAAGGCGUGGGGAGCAAACAGGAUUAGAUACCCUGGUA
rnacentral:rRNA from 1 species